UGGGGAAUAUUGCACAAUGGGCGCAAGCCUGAUGCAGCAACGCCGCGUGAACGAUGAAGGUCUUCGGAUCGUAAAGUUCUGUUGCAGGGGAAGAUAAUGACGGUACCCUGUGAGGAAGCCCCGGCUAACUACGUGCCAGCAGUCGCGGUAAUACGUAGGGGGCUAGCGUUAUCCGGAUUUACUGGGCGUAAAGGGUGCGUAGGUGGUCUUUCAAGUCGGUGGUUAAAGGCUACGGCUCAACCGUAGUUAGCCUCCGAAACUGGAAGACUUGAGUGCAGGAGAGGAAAGUGGAAUUCCCAGUGUAGCGGUGAAAUGCGUAGAUAUUGGGAGGAACACCAGUAGCGAAGGCGGCUUUCUGGACUGCAACUGACACUGAGGCACGAAAGCGUGGGUAGCAAACAGG
rnacentral:rRNA from 1 species